AUUUCAUGGCGACUUGUCGUUAGAAUCUUACUGUCUGGAUAUUGAGAGAACUUAAAACGGCGAUCAGAUUGGCGAACUCUGACUACAUUGUAGCCAGCUGCCCAGCGGACAACUCUGUUUUUCAGUCUGCUUUCUAAUCCUUCUGCCCCAUAAAAAAUACGUCAUUUAUUAUAAAUAUAAAAAAAACAUCGUUCGACUAAUAAACCAGGUGUAACUGGAUGCUUCGCCAGCGUCGUUGGAUGCAAGACAUUGGAACAUUCCUGAGUCAUCCAUGGUUAAUUUUUUAAUUGUUAAGGAGCCAUCUUCUUCCAGUGCGUACCUAUACAUAAAAGUGCAGAAGAAUAUAGAAAUAGGAAGAUAGGAGAAUUUUGAAUUUGAUAGAUGAUUUCAGUUAAAAUACAUACUUUAGGUAGCAA